AGAGUUUGAUCAUGGCUCAGAUUGAACGCUGGCGGCAGGCCUAACACAUGCAAGUCGAGCGGUAGCACAGAGAGCUUGCUCUCGGGUGACGAGCGGCGGACGGGUGAGUAAUGUCUGGGAAACUGCCUGAUGGAGGGGGAUAACUACUGGAAACGGUAGCUAAUACCGCAUAAUGUCGCAAGACCAAAGUGGGGGACCUUCGGGCCUCAUGCCAUCAGAUGUGCCCAGAUGGGAUUAGCUAGUAGGUGGGGUAACGGCUCACCUAGGCGACGAUCUCUAGCUGGUCUGAGAGGAUGACCAGCCACACUGGAACUGAGACACGGUCCAGACUCCUACGGGAGGCAGCAGUGGGGAAUAUUGCACAAUGGGCGCAAGCCUGAUGCAGCCAUGCCGCGUGUGUGAAGAAGGCCUUCGGGUUGUAAAGCACUUUCAGCGGGGAGGAAGGCGNCGAUUGACGUUACCCGCAGAAGAAGCACCGGCUAACUCCGUGCCAGCAGCCGCGGUAAUACGGAGGGUGCAAGCGUUAAUCGGAAUUACUGGGCGUAAAGCGCACGCAGGCGGUCUGUCAAGUCGGAUGUGAAAUCCCCGGGCUCAACCUGGGAACUGCAUUCGAAACUGGCAGGCUAGAGUCUUGUAGAGGGGGGUAGAAUUCCAGGUGUAGCGGUGAAAUGCGUAGAGAUCUGGAGGAAUACCGGUGGCGAAGGCGGCCCCCUGGACAAAGACUGACGCUCAGGUGCGAAAGCGUGGGGAGCAAACAGGAUUAGAUACCCUGGUAGUCCACGCCGUAAACGAUGUCGAUUUGGAGGUUGUGCCCUUGAGGCGUGGCUUCCGGAGCUAACGCGUUAAAUCGACCGCCUGGGGAGUACGGCCGCAAGGUUAAAACUCAAAUGAAUUGACGGGGGCCCGCACAAGCGGUGGAGCAUGUGGUUUAAUUCGAUGCAACGCGAAGAACCUUACCUGGUCUUGACAUCCACAGAACUUUCCAGAGAUGGAUUGGUGCCUUCGGGAACUGUGAGACAGGUGCUGCAUGGCUGUCGUCAGCUCGUGUUGUGAAAUGUUGGGUUAAGUCCCGCAACGAGCGCAACCCUUAUCCUUUGUUGCCAGCGGUNGGCCGGGAACUCAAAGGAGACUGCCAGUGAUAAACUGGAGGAAGGUGGGGAUGACGUCAAGUCAUCAUGGCCCUUACGACCAGGGCUACACACGUGCUACAAUGGCAUAUACAAAGAGAAGCGACCUCGCGAGAGCAAGCGGACCUCAUAAAGUAUGUCGUAGUCCGGAUUGGAGUCUGCAACUCGACUCCAUGAAGUCGGAAUCGCUAGUAAUCGUAGAUCAGAAUGCUACGGUGAAUACGUUCCCGGGCCUUGUACACACCGCCCGUCACACCAUGGGAGUGGGUUGCAAAAGAAGUAGGUAGCUUAACCUUCGGGAGGGCGCUUACCACUUUGUGAUUCAUGACUGGGGUGAAGUCGUAACAAGGUAACCGUAGGGGAACCUGCGGUUGGAUCACCU
rnacentral:rRNA from 1 species